GCUUACGGCCAUACCACCCUGAACACGCCCGAUGUCGCUAAGCAAGCUAAGCAGGGUCGGGCCUGGUUAGUACUUGGAUGGGAGACCGCCUGGGAAUACCAGGUGCUGUAAGCU
rnacentral:rRNA from 1 species